AAGUUGUGACCAAGCCGUCUCGCUUCCUCCUGGGCAAGCAUAAUUACUUUAAUUGCUUUUUCCGUGAAGCGUUCAAACAUAGCCCUAGGUAAAAACCGCUUAGCCUUUUGUUGCCUACGGGACACUGUGAUUGCAACCCUGGAAUGGAAAUCUUGUCCAGAUCUUAGCAAUGUAUCUAAACAGUUUGAACUUCGUAGACCUGAGUAUCCUCUCAAUGUCAAUGUUGGUGAUCGUGAACUACACAUCAUUUUGGUGGUCGCCCUUCUUGAUGUUUCGGAUUCUAGAGAUUGGCCAUGCUUUAUACCAGAAGCUAUAGCAGGAAUAUUAGUUGAAUGAACCAGAAGCCUUGCCAUGUGAUAUCCCACAAAAACAGUCU
rnacentral:misc_RNA from 1 species